rnacentral:sRNA from 2 species
CAUGAAUUAUGAUGGGCAUCUUUGUACUGUACAUGACGAUGUUCAGCGAAAUUCUCCACUCACAUCCCUCCAAUUUGAAAACGACAUUCGUGUUCAAUGUCUAGAGUAUUUAAAUGAAUGGCAAGUGUGUUCGUACCACCACUUGACCAUGCUCCGGAAUUUUUUUAAACCAUUUGCAUGUAGCUGCAACAGCCCUCACCACCACCGCAAUCCGUGGGUCAACAGCUAAUUUUUCAGAUAACUACUACUAGUACUUAUAAGUAGCACCUACAGUUGAGCCAGCUUCCUCUUCCUAUUCUUGCACAGAGCCCUCUAAGGCUGCAAAGCCUGCGUCCAGCCAUAGCCGCAGACCACCACCUUCCCCCUCCUCCAAACAUUCAACCAUUUGUAAAGCAUCGAGAAUCAUAGUGGAAAGUGAGUGACACUCAUCUCAGUCUCUCGCUAAUAAAUCGACAGCAAAAUGUCUGCUGUUUGAGUGGAUCCCUGUUCAGAAAGCAUAACCAACCUACUAUGGGAGGGGGGGAGCAUUGUGAAAGCCUCGUGAGGAUGUCCCAAAUCAAACGUUGACAUUCUGCGUCACCAGGGCCCCUUUACAGUCAAGGAUGAUAAAGCCCGCCUGCUUGGUGUGGUGGGAGCGAUAGGCACAAGUUCGACUGGUCGCGGAAGGGUGUAGAAGUAGGGAACCACAUGAUGUUAUAAAAUAUAUACAAAAAAAAAAAAAAAGAUAAGAAUAGAACAUCUACCCCUCCGUACCUUCCUGUCACCAUAUAUAUAUAUAUAUAUAUGCACAUUCAUAACCUGUAUCUAAGCACACAAUAAGCUUCCACCCCAUCAUCACCAAUCAUGGCGCGGGAAAUCUACACUCGACACAGAUCAACUUCGGAUCCCCACUUUUCAUCCGCAUCGCGCGGAAAUUCGCCCCCUGACAUCGCGAACAGAUGAGACUUUCCCCAUCAUUUUCAUCAUCGUCAUCAUCAUCAUCAUCACCACCACUGUCUUCCUCCUCCUCCUCCUCUUCUUCUGUUUCUUCAUUUUCAUUGCUAUAUCCAUCACUGUAAUCAUGAACGUCAUAAUAUUUUUCCUCCUCCUGCCCCUCCUCCUCUGACGUGGAAACGAUAUCGCUGCUCAAUGUGCUCACCCUACUCACCUGUUUUGAGAACGGAUGUCCCUCAUCGUGCUCAAGUGAGUCAACAGGUCGCAAGCUUCCUGACGCUUGGGAGGCGAAUGUAUCCUUAUUCCAGUACAUGUAGCUCUGAUUGCCCGAGAGCAAGAGGUUGUUGUGCGAGUUUGUGGCUGUUGCUGCUGCUGCUGCUGCUGCUGCGAGAUGCUCGUUGCGGCGAUGCUUAUUUUUGGUAUGUGGUUCUGGCUGUGGAAUAUAUUCAGACGGUGCUGCACCGGAAAAGGGGCUGUCUAUAAUGGAACGCUGUUUCAAUGAAAAGGUAGGGGUGAACGAACGUCUAGACGGCUCCCCCGCUAAGUCGGAAGCUAUUGGGAGGUGGCCCUGCUGAGGUUUAUCAUUUUGCCUUGCGGGGAACUUGCUGGGCGAGACGCUCCGAGUCAUGGAAAGGCUAGAGCGAAGGUUGUCGACGCUUGAGUUCUCUGUGCGCAUUACUGCAUUUCGCCACGAUAAUAUGCGCUCAGAAGGGGUUUUAUGGGAGGAGUCUUUCCCAAUUGACGAAGAAAUACUGUGGCGCGUAGAGACCGAGUUAUUUCGGCCAAGAAUCCUUCGGGAGAAGCCAGUAUCCCAAACAUCACUACGCAACUUGUGGUAUCCACAAUCCUGUCGAAAGGCUUUAAUGGUGCCUUUAGCAUCCGCAGCGAUGAUAAUGUUUCCGCACGGGUGAGCGAAUUUUGUUGAGGGUGCCUGCAGUUCGUCUGCUUUCCGGCUAAGCGGAAAUGUGGAACUUCUGGGAGUUGGCGCCAUCGACUCUUCCCGAGACCCAGCUGCAUCGGUUACGGGUUUAGACGUCACGGACACCGCUUGGCUGACAAGAGUAACGGGGGGUGGGUUGCAAAGAUCAUAAAGGAGGUCACCGGAAGUUCCAAGCAACUGUUUAGAUUUGGCCGGAGCCAUAAUUGCGCUCGUGACGAUAGAGGAAUGUGACUCGAAGAUCUCAACAGCGCGCUUCUCCGGAUCCCUUUCUGGCGAAGAGAUAGGCCAUAUAUACACCUUUCUAUCCUCGCUUCCACAGAUAACAUAUUUGCCAUCGCUGCUAAAUGUAGCCCGAAUUUGACUGGUAUGGUUUUCAUUUCCUCGAAAUUUAGCCUCCAGUGUGCGAUACCUGAAAUUGUAUAGACGGAUUCGUGAGUCGUUGCUCGUGAUGAGGAGCUUCACUGAGCCGUUUGGGUCAUUGGGUGGCAGUGAGAUCGCGUCAAUGCCGGUUAUUUUACUUCCCUUGGCAUUACGGCCACGCGCUGAUCUCACAUGGAUUUGGGACUGUAUAUUCAAGCCGUCAGUUUCAAAGAUGAGGCAGAGUCCAUUCAGGCAGCCGGCAAUAGAGUGCUUCCCGUCAGGGGUAAAAGCAACCGAAGUUAUCAUAUACGGCAGGGUAGCCACAAAAGCUACGCUCUUGUCUGGUAUGCUCCAUAGCCGCAGUUUUGUAUCCAGAGACCCAGCGAGGAAAAAGCGGUCGUCUUGGGGAUGAAAUUGCACAGACGUGACAAAGUCGCUGUGAUU